rnacentral:misc_RNA from 1 species
AAACACACCAUUUUAGGGCUCCUUGUCAGAAAAAAAGUUAUAAAUAGACCCUUAUCCCAUUUUAGAAGAAAGGGGAGAAAGAGGGGAAGAAAAGGAAAAGGAGGAGGGCAGCAGCUGAAGAGUCAAAAACGUCACCCACACCAUUUCCAACCAAAUUUGGAGAUUUCUUUCUUUUCUUGCAUAUUUCCUACCUUUCUAGUAUUGGGUUUCUUAUUUCUUAGCUUAGAUUAA